CAGUUGCAAGUUGUCAAAAUUGUGAAGCAUAUAAUGUUACUGAUCGAUUGCCUUGUCGUAAAAUACGGAUCUUAUUGGUUGCAACAUGAAUUGCAUCAUGUUCUCCAUACAUAGAUCGAAACUCCGCCAAAAAAGCCUCUAGAUUAUCCAAUAUUGGAUCUCGUCAUUCAAGAAAAGAUGAAAACCACGAUAGUGUCAAACUUGAAAGAAGCAUACCAAUGAAUCUGAUUUGUGAUGGUGGAGUUGGAUAGCUUUGGGGUUGAAGUUUAAUUACAAGUUAUACUUGAUUGAUAAAUCUUUGAAACUUGGACCUGGUGCCAUCAAACUUCUUGAGUAGGGCAAUUCUUGGUUCUCUAACAUUUGAAGGGCGUUCCACUAUAGGAGAAAGGACAUGGUUUGAUGCAGAUGUUGAAGCAGCUCCAACUAUUUCUAUAUCUU
rnacentral:lncRNA from 1 species